rnacentral:rRNA from 1 species
UACGGAGGGUGCAAGCGUUGCUCGGAAUUAUUGGGCGUAAAGCGCACGUAGGCGGUCCAUUAAGUCGGGUGUGAAAGCCCUGGGCUCGACCCAGGAAGUGCACUCGAAACUGACGGGCUUGAAUAUGGAAGAGGGUCGCGGAGUUCCCGGUGUAGAGGUGAAAUUCGUAGAUAUCGGGAGGAACACCAGUGGCGAAGGCGGCGACCUGGGCCAAUAUUGACGCUGAGGUGCGAAAGCGUGGGGAGCAAACAGG